GGGGCCAUAGCUCAGCCUGGUAGAGCAGCGGACUCUUAAUCCGCGUGUCGAGGGUUCAAAUCCCUCUGGCCUCGCCA
rnacentral:tRNA from 1 species